rnacentral:rRNA from 1 species
UACGAAGGGUGCAAGCGUUACUCGGAAUUACUGGGCUUAAAGGGUGCGUAGGCGGCGUGGCAAGUUGGGUGUGAAAUCCCUCGGCUCAACCGAGGAACUGCGCUCAAUACUGCCAUGCUCGAGGGAGACAGAGGUGAGCGGAACUUAGGGUGGAGCGGUGAAAUGCGUUGAUAUCCUAAGGAACACCGGUAGCGAAAGCGGCUCACUGGGUCUUUUCUGACGCUGAGGCACGAAAGCUAGGGUAGCGAACGGG